AAGGCUCUGUACUGAUCUCAUGGCAACAAGGAUGUUCCGCCAUUUCUGGGAAAGAAACUCAAAAGGGAAAUGCAUCAGGGCCACAGAAAGUUACAAAGUUCUGCUCAGCAAUUCUUACUGGCUUGGGAAUUUGAAACAUGAGAACUACAAAAACAAAAGUGUUUUCUUACUUAUGGAGCUGGUUACACUUGUGCUUCUGGGCCACUCUCUCCUAAUCUAUCCGGGAACUCUGCUCACAGGAAUGUCUGCCCUGUAUAAGGCACUAUGCCCAGGGCUACAGAGAUCAAUAUCAUGAAAAGCCUGCCUGGACCAUCCCAACAUCAUCAAGCUGUUGGAUGUCACUGAGGAUAAGGACAAUGUAUAUCUAAUAAUGGAGCAUGCAGGUGGCAAAGACGUUGUUCGGAGAAUAUGGAGAUUUGGCCAGAUGGAGGAGGGGGAAGCCUGAGUCAUAUUCCUUCAGAUAUUAAAAGCUGUUGAGUACCUUCAUCAAGAGGGCAUCGUACACAGGGAUCUGAAGCCCCACAACAUUUUACUUGAUGCACAGAAUAACGUGAAACUAGCCAACUUUGGCCUCACCACAACCUUCCCUGAAGAAUUGAAAAGCUUUCUCAAAACAAUCCUGACUCCUGACCCCAUGGAGAGGUCCACCCUCUGCCAGAUAAUGGAAGACCCAUGGAUGAAGUCUAGGCAAGACAGCAUGAAGCCACAAAUGCCGGAGAAAACCGCCACCCCACCAGAAAUUCUUAGUCUCAGUUGUGCCACCCAGCCUGGCCCUGUGUCCUUCCCCUCCCCCAGCAUCAGCAGCCUUAGGGGAGGCCCAGGAAGAGACACCAGAGCUCAAGGAAGAUCCAGGAAAGACCAUACUCUCUCCUGGCUGGGCAGGCAAAAGAGGACACCCCCACUGAAGCGGGCCAGGGCUGGCAAGGGUGCACUAGGAAGAUUUUGAAUUUCAUUUUGAAAAUGUGCUGCCUUCAGCUGGCUGAAGAGAUCUGCUGCACACUAGGUCAACAAACUUGUACCUGUGACCACUGAGGAGACCUGAGGCAGAAA